ensembl:lncRNA
AUCCCGGAAGAGGGGAACAGCUCCGGAUCCCCGGGAAGAUGCGGGAACAGCUCCGGAUCCCUGGGAAGAUGCGGGAACGGCUCGGGAUCCCCGGGAAGAUGCGGGGGCAGCUCCGGAUCCCCGGGAAGAUGCGGGAACAGCUCCGGAUCCCUGGGAAGAUGCGGGAACAGCUCCGGAUCCCGGGAAGAUGCGGGAACGGCUCGGGAUCCCCGGGAGGUGGGACAGCUCCGGAUCCCGAGGGCCGCUCGGAUCCCCGGGAAGAUGCGGGAACGGCCCGGGAUCCCGGGAAGAUGCGGGAACAGCUCCGGAUCCCCGGGAAGAUGCGGGAACGGCCCGGGAUCCCCGGGAAGAUGCGGGAACGGCCCGGGAUCCCGGGAAGAUGCGGGAACAGCUCGGGAUCCCCGGGAAGAUGCGGGAACAGCUCCACCUCCCGGCUCGGCGCUCCCGGCUCAGCUCAGGCACCACGUGAUGGUUUCGCUGCCAUUUCAGGGAUCCCGGAGAGGCGGCUCCUGUCCUUUGGCAGACGGAAACUCAGCCCCAAAUCCGCUCCCUGCUCGGGGAAACGGCGCUGGAGAGGCUGUGGGGAUGGGGAUGGGCUGGGGGUGGCUGUGCAGAGCUCUGUGGAUGUUCCAAAGCCCAGGGAUGUGCUGGGGAUGGCUGUGCAGGGCUCUGUGGAUGUUCCAAAGCCCAGGGAUGUGCUGGGGGUGGCUGUGCAGAGCUCUGUGGAUGUUCCAAAGCCCAGGGAUGUGCUGGGGAUGGCUGUGCAGGGCUCUGUGGAUGUUCCAAAUCCCAGGGAUGUGCUGGGGGUGGCUGUGCAGGGCUCUGUGGAUGUUCCAAAGGCCAGGGAUGUGCUGGGGGUGGCUGUGCAGGGCUCUGUGGAUGUUCCAAAGCCCAGGGAUGUGCUGGGGUGGCUGUGCAGGGCUCUGUGGAUGUUCCUGGCAUUCCAAACCUCAGGGAUGUGCUGGGGAUGGCUGUGCAGGGCUCUGUGGAUGUUCCUGGCAUCCCAAACCUCAGGGAUGUGCUGGGAUGGCUGUGCAGGGCUCUGUGGAUGUUCCAAAGGCCAGGGAUGUGCUGGGGAUGGCUGUGCAGGGCUCUGUGGAUGUUCCUGGCAUUCCAAACCCCAGGGAUGUGCUGGGAUGGCUGUGCAGGGCUCUGUGGAUGUUCCAAAGCCCAGGGAUGUGCUGGGGGUGGCUGUGCAGGGCUCUGUGGAUGUUCCUGGCAUUCCAAACCUCAGGGAUGUGCUGGGGAUGGCUGUGCAGGGCUCUGUGGAUGUUCCUGGCAUCCCAAAUCCCAGGGAUGUGCUGGGGGUGGCUGUGCAGGGCUCUGUGGAUGUUCCAAAGCCCAGGGAUGUGCUGGGAUGGCUGUGCAGGGCUCUGUGGAUGUUCCUGGCAUUCCAAAGCCCAGGGAUGUGCUGGGGUGGCUGUGCAGGGCUCUGUGGAUGUUCCAAAGCCCAGGGAUGUGCUGGGGAUGGCUGUGCAGGGCUCUGUGGAUGUUCCUGGCGUCCCAAAGCCCAGGGAUGGAUGCUGAGCUUUUGUUCAGGAGGAGGGACCAAGCACCUUGGUGCUCUAAACUCAGGAUAUAAUAUUAAUGUAUCAACUCAGAGUAUAAAAUGCUUCAGCAGGGACUGUCCUGAGCCAUUUGUGGGCAGUUUGAAAUGCGG